CAGCCGCCGCGGUAAUACGAAGGGGGCUAGCGUUGUUCGGAUUUACUGGGCGUAAAGGGCGCGUAGGCGGGCUGAUAAGUCAGGGGUGAAAUCCCAAGGCUCAACCUUGGAACUGCCUUUGAUACUGUUUGUCUUGAGUUCGAGAGAGGUAAGUGGAACUGCGAGUGUAGAGGUGAAAUUCGUAGAUAUUCGCAAGAACACCAGUGGCGAAGGCGGCUUACUGGCUCGAAACUGACGCUGAGGCGCGAAAGCGUGGGGAGCAAACAGGAUUAGAUACCCCUGUAGUCCCUGUCUCUUAUAC
rnacentral:rRNA from 1 species